AUUGAACGCUGGCGGCAGGCCUAACACAUGCAAGUCGAACGAGUGGCGGACGGGUGAGUAAUGUCUCGGAAACUGCCUGCUGGAGGGGGAUAACUACUGGAAACGGUAGCUAAUACCGCAUACCAUCGGAUCUGCCCAGAUGGGAUUAGCUAGUAGGUGGGGUAACGGCUCACCUAGGCCACGAUCCCUAGCUGGUCUGAGAGGAUGACCAGACACACUGGGACUGAGACACGGUCCAGACUCCUACGGGAGGCAGCAGUGGGGAAUAUUGCACAAUGGGCGCAAGCCUGAUGCAGCCAUGCCGCGUGUAUGAAGAAGGCCUUCGGGUUGUAAAGUACUUUCGGCGGAGAGGCGUUAUCCGCAGAAGAAGCACCGGCUAACUCCGUGCCAGCAGCCGCGGUAAUAC
rnacentral:rRNA from 1 species